rnacentral:rRNA from 1 species
GAUGAACGCUGACAGAAUGCUUAACACAUGCAAGUCGAUGGGGAGGUGGUGCUUGCACCAUGGUAACCAUGGCGGACGGGUGAGUAACGCGUAAGGAACUUGCCUGCGGGACUGGGAUAACAGCAGGAAACUGCUGAUAAUACCGGAUAAGGUCAUUAAGCUGCAUAGCUUAGUGAUGAAAGGAGACGCCUGCGGAGAGCCUUGCGUCCUAUUAGCUAGUUGGAGGGGUAACGGCCCACCAAGGCGAAGAUAGGUAGCCGGCCUGAGAGGGUGGACGGCCACAAGGGGACUGAGAUACGGCCCUUACUCCUACGGGAGGCAGCAGUGGGGAAUAUUGGACAAUGGGGGCAACCCUGAUCCAGCAAUUCUGUGUGCACGAAGACGGUUUUCGGAUUGUAAAGUGCUUUCAGCAGGGAAGAAGGAAGUGACGGUACCUGCAGAAGAAGCGACGGCUAAAUACGUG